UUUGGUCUGCUGGUGUUGGCCAAGUGUAGUAUCUGAUCUUAAAAGUUCAAUAUCUGAUAUGCCCCUGAUGAGAGGAUUUUAUAUUAAACAGACUUUGGAGCAUGGGAGUUGGAUCCGGAGCUUGCUCUCUCUGCUUUAUGCAUUGCCCCAGUAUUGCAGUGACUCUGUGAAUGGUGCACUGAUA